AGUGAACGCUGGCGGUAGGCCUAACACAUGCAAGUCGAACGGCAGCACAGUAAGAGCUUGCUCUUACGGGUGGCGAGUGGCGGACGGGUGAGGAAUACAUCGGAAUCUACUUUUUCGUGGGGGAUAACGUAGGGAAACUUACGCUAAUACCGCAUACGACCUACGGGUGAAAGCAGGGGAUCUUCGGACCUUGCGCGAUUGAAUGAGCCGAUGUCGGAUUAGCUAGUUGGCGGGGUAAAGGCCCACCAAGGCGACGAUCCGUAGCUGGUCUGAGAGGAUGAUCAGCCACACGGGAACUGAGACACGGUCCAGACUCCUACGGGAGGCAGCAGUGGGGAAUAUUGGACAAUGGGCGCAAGCCUGAUCCAGCCAUACCGCGUGGGUGAAGAAGGCCUUCGGGUUGUAAAGCCCUUUUGUUGGGAAAGAAAAGCAGCAGGUUAAUACCCCGCUGUCCUGACGGUACCCAAAGAAUAAGCACCGGCUAACUUCGU
rnacentral:rRNA from 1 species